rnacentral:siRNA from 1 species
UGUGUCGAUUUAUAGUGUAGUCAU